CUAAUCUUAACGAUUAUCAAAGUCUCUCCGGAGCAAACCUACAUGUAACCUAGUUGCAACCCAGCGAAGCUAAAGUCACACUUUAGCAAAACCCGUGCUUUCUCCAAACUUCCCAGUGCUUGCUCUGCUCAACCUACAACGUUGAGUAUCGAUUCGGUGACGCGAAGAGAUCACAACCAAAUCCCUUAUCCGUAAGGCAAGAAGUCCUUUUCCGAAAGGCAUAGAAAAGAACCUUGUGACGAGGUUGGUGCUCUCCUUGUCCACAGCGUUUGGUAAGAAGUCAGGUCAAGGGACUCCUCGACGACCGCACCCCACGGUGCUGGCACGCCCGCG
rnacentral:lncRNA from 1 species